CAUGGAUACUUUGAAUUCAUUUGCUUUGGCACAGUACUGUGAGUUAAAUGUAUCCUUGGCCACAUGAUUUGCCAUAAUAUAUGUGUUGCGAAUUUGCGACUUGCACUUUGUUAGACCAUAUCUUGUAACUUAUGUUUCAUGUAUGUCUAUGUUGAUGGGCCUUGGUACUUAUUCAUAUAAAUUUGUAUUAUCGUACUUGAUCAUUAUUAUGCCAAAAUGCACUGUUAUGUCGUAUGAGCAUGCAUUUAGUGAAUGACAGUGUGAAUUAAUUUACAGCUGUAGCUCUCCUGGAAGAAUGAGGUGGUUGUUAAGAAUUCAAGGUUAUUCAAGCUCCUAUUUGGUUGUUCAAUUACUGAUCCUCUACUGAUCUCCUACUGUUCCUAUUUUCCUGGUGCAGGUCUCCCUAAAGAAUGCGACCUCUAAAAAUUCUAGCAACACAAGCCACUCACAAUCAGAUUUGGGCGAUGGGUGGUCUAACUGGUGGAACAUGGGUGCAGCUAUUGGUGUGUUAGCAGCGCAUGCAUCUUCAAGCUCAAGUGGAUGUGGAGUGAAAGAUGGACCCUUGCCCUUGCAUGAGUUGACAGGCUGUCGAUGGGUAGCUCAACCUUGCAAACAGUAAGAAAUGCUACAAAGAUUUCCGUCUUCAUCAUGCUUUAUUCAAAUUGUUGCAUGCAACCUUAGUGGCGGUGCACGGGCUAAAAUCUACACGGCUCACACCCCUCCUGUUACCUCAAAAAGAAAAAUCUACACGGCAAUGUGAAUCAAUUGUGGCGUUAGGGAUGUUCCUAUGGGCAUGUGGCACAAGACAAUGUCAAAGACAAAUGUCAGAUAGAGCAGGAAGUUCAGUGAAGUGUUAGAUGUUGUGGUCUCUUUUGCGCAUAGGAUUAUUAGGCCGGGGGAUCCAACAUUCAGAUUAAGUCAGUUCUCACCAUAUUGUGAUGGGUGCAUAUGAACUAUAGAUGUAACUCAUAUUAUGGUGGCAGUCCCUGAGCACGCAUAUGAUGAUUUCAUAAACAGAAAAGGGUUCACCAGCCAAAAUGUCUUGGCCGUGUGUGUCAUGGACAUUUGUCGCUAUGGGUAAGAAGGGUGCCGCCCAUGACACGGCUGUUUUUAGGGAAGCGGUGAACAGUAAUGACCAUUUCCCACAUGUUUGGGAACGGCAGCUACCUUACAAGGACGGGUGAAGAAAAUGAUCCGGCAACAGAUUGGUUAGCGGCUACUGCCAGUGAUGAUACUGCCACUGCGUGAUUGGAUUGCAGCUGGGCUUUAUGGUUUGGUGUGAUUGGUAAACAUUUUUGAGCUGCUAUGUAGUGUGUAAGGUCACGACUGAUUUGUU